AUUGGACUGGUCCGAGUAUAGCUAGUACAGCUUCAUCUGCCCCCACCUCACCAUUGAUCCCCUAAUUGUCACCGUGAAAUAGUACCAACCCUUUAAACAACCGAGUAUCACCGAGCGAUAUGGAACGUCUUUCGAAGAAGCUGGAUAGUGGUACCUACGCAAAGCUUACAGGUAAUUGUUAAUUCCAUAAUUUCCCUUUUUAAUAAAUUUAAUUACGGUCAUCCGAUCUUUUUUCCGAAA